rnacentral:tRNA from 1 species
AAAUCCGUCGACUUUAGAAAUCGUGAGGGUUCGAGUCCCUCUAUCCCCA